CAGACAUGAUUAAUUACCUAGUACAAAUUAACAUUUAAAUAUUUUACCUAGUUAUGCUGUUGGUCUUCAUUGGCCAAAUCUUGUAAAGUUUCUAUAGCACCAGAGACAUCAGAUAUGUCUACCAUUCUCUCUGUCUUGAUUUAUAGAAUAACCACUCCCAUCCCAUAAACGUCCCCUGUUGUAAACCAUUGACUUGUGUACAUACAUAAUCAUAUUAAAUGCCACCCAUAUGUUAUAUUAGUGUAUUAAUUUUAUGCUUGAUUUACAUUAUAUUGAUUCUUAUUAUAGUACUGGGGGGGGACGUGUGUUACGUUGAUAUAGGUUGUAGAAGUACUAGCUAAAUUCUAUGUUGAUUUAGCAAUCUUUAACUUGUAUCUUAUGUCUUUGAGCCCAAAUCCUGAAAGCUUAACAUUUAAGCUCUGCAUGCAUAAAUAGAAAACACACUUACUUAAUAAUAUAAUUAAGCUUUAUUAGUAGUAACAUGACGAAAUUAUAUUAUUAAUCACAU
rnacentral:lncRNA from 1 species